rnacentral:ncRNA from 2 species
UUUGGCUUGACGUGUUCAAGUUCCGGCCUGCGGGUCGGAUUGAAAGGGAACACGGAACGGCCUCCGGGCCCAGACCGUGGCUGCCCCCGCAACUGUGAGCGGCGAGCGACGUCGACAUGCCACUGGGCCCGCCCGGGAAGGCCGACAGAGCGAAGACCCGCGAGCCAGGAGACCUGCUUGGACAUUCACCCUUUC